rnacentral:lncRNA from 1 species
GAUCAAAAUUUAAGGUAAUUACUUCUUUAGAAUUUAUAAUUACGUAAAUUGUAUAAACUAUAUUUAUUAAAUUCAUAAAUAGAAACAAUUCAUUUAAAUUUGAAGUUAAAGAGUUGCUAGCUAGUUGAAAUCAAAUAAAUUAAAAAGCUAGAUAGUAAAACUAAAUUUUUUAUAGAUCAAAAUGUGUCAUAGUUGAGAUAAGUUUUAUAUACUUUUAACCUUUUUUUUAAGCAAUGUCAAGCAGAAAUAAAUAGGCCAAUUUGCAUAAAAAAAUCUACUAAUUUUGCGCUUUUUCAAAAGUGGGCCACCUUUUUCAGUUUUGCAGAUUCGGACCGAGUUUUCAGCAAACUGACCAAAAUAUCCUUAUACCUUUUUUUCUCUCCUCUUUUUUUUUUUCUCUCGUUCUUUUCUUCUUUCUCUUCCCAGAGAGCGGUGAAGGCAGAGGCGGCCCGCUUCGGUUUUGUCCGGCGCAUCCUUACCCUCGCCCGCGUACCUCCGCCUUCCUCGCUUCCGACCCCGUCGAGGCCGCGCUGCGAUUUUUUUUCCCCCUCUCCGACCCUCCUCUACCGCCUUCGACGACACCUAUCUCACCCUCUCUCGCCCUUCUUGCCAUUUCCCUCUCUCUCCUCCUUCGCCUCCUCCGCCGCCUCCGACGAUGACGCCUCUCCGCUUACAUCGGCGCCACGGAGGUCGCUGCGGUGCCGCAGCCUCGGAGCAGGGGGUCUUUAGCGGCGUUGUCGCCGACACUAUGGCCGUUGGCGGAGAGGCGUGACAAAAAAAAUUAUAGAAGAAGGAAGAAGAAAAAAAAUAAAGAUAAAAAAUUAUAUAAGAAGGAAGAACAAUAUGAAAUUGCACUAUUUUAAAAUAAAUUUGCACUGUUUUAAUAAAAAUUGCACUAUUUGAUAUAGAAAUUACACUCUUUUGGAACAAAUUUUACACUAUUUAGGCUAACGUUGCACUAUUUAGGAGAAUUUUGCAUCAUUUCUUUUUCUUUUCUUUUUCUCUUCUUCUUCUUCUUCUGCUGCUGCCUCCCACCC